rnacentral:rRNA from 1 species
GAGUUUGAUCCUGGCUCAGGACGAACGCUGGCGGCGUGCCUAAUACAUGCAAGUCGAACGAAACUUUCUUACACCGAAUGCUUGCAUUCAACGUAAGAAGUUGAGUGGCGGACGGGUGAGUAACACGUGGGUAACCUGCCUAAAAGAAGGGGAUAACACUUGGAAACAGGUGCUAAUACCGUAUAUCUCUAAGGAUCGCAUGAUCCUUAGAUGAAAGAUGGUUCUGCUAUCGCUUUUAGAUGGACCCGCGGCGUAUUAACUAGUUGGUGGGGUAACGGCCUACCAAGGUGAUGAUACGUAGCCGAACUGAGAGGUUGAUCGGCCACAUUGGGACUGAGACACGGCCCAAACUCCUACGGGAGGCAGCAGUAGGGAAUCUUCCACAAUGGACGCAAGUCUGAUGGAGCAACGCCGCGUGAGUGAAGAAGGUCUUCGGAUCGUAAAACUCUGUUGUUAGAGAAGAACACGAGUGAGAGUAACUGCUCAUUCGAUGACGGUAUCUAACCAGCAAGUCACGGCUAACUACGUGCCAGCAGCCGCGGUAAUACGUAGGUGGCAAGCGUUGUCCGGAUUUAUUGGGCGUAAAGGGAACGCAGGCGGUCUUUUAAGUCUGAUGUGAAAGCCUUCGGCUUAACCGGAGUAGUGCAUUGGAAACUGGAAGACUUGAGUGCAGAAGAGGAGAGUGGAACUCCAUGUGUAGCGGUGAAAUGCGUAGA